rnacentral:lncRNA from 1 species
GUAACUAUCGUACAGUCGAGGAGGUGAUGGUUGUCGAAUCCUUCUUGGAGGACUACGGGAUCAAUGAUUUUGACCCUCAUUAUUCUGCCUCGAAGGCGGGGAUCAGAAGCACUGGCAUUUUUUCUCUUCUCAUCUUGAAUGGCUCUCCUUGCUGGAUCCCACCACGGUUGAAUCGACAGGAGUAUCAUCGACAAAGGUCUUUUCCAUGUAGAUGUACUUUUCUGCAUGGACAAGCAUAUCCAAAAAAUCUCGAGGAUAAAUCUUAACUAACGAUUUUUUCAAAUCGUUCUUUAAGAGAUCGCUCAUCAUUACAGCCAUC